ACGCCACACACGUUAAUUUCACAAACUUAUUUGCACCUAAAUCAUCUUCCCCAAGCUAGGGUUGCCGCAUGAAAAAUACUAGCCCUGCAUCCUUCUUCCUCAACCCCACGUAUAUUCACCACCCCGGCCAGUGCCCAACCAAUAUUGCAUGCACUCACGGCCAUUAACAGCCGCUGCCACCAGCCUCCAUCUCGUAGCCCCACCGUAGUGCCCCCUGCUCAGCCAACGUAGCCACUGCAGAAGCUCCACGCACGGAACCGCAACGUCAAGCGCGCGGUUGUUGAGAAACACCAACCCGAAAGUCAGUCCCUUCGCGUCCAACCUUCAGCCCUUGGCCGCCUGGCCGUGACCACCAAACCUCACUGCCCACCCUGCCCCUCACCCACUCGUAGUGCCACCACCGUAACCCAGCCGCAAAUCCACAGUGGAGCCACCGUUGGUCAUCACGACGAAGGCUCUGUUUUCACCAUACCGAAACAGAGCAUCCCAUUAUCCUUGCUCCCGAUUCCGUUAGGCGCCGCCAGCCUCGGCACGGUGAAGUCCAGCUCACUGGCGUGUUCACCUCAGCCGCCCAGCUCCGCCAGAGUGCCCCCUGCACGCCUCCAUCGCUCUCGUCCUCUUCCGCCUCGCCGACCAUCCACGACCGCCGCUCGUUGCCUCUCUCGGUGAGUCCUGAUCUGGUGCCUGGCCACACAACGAAACGGACG